CUUCAAUGUCAAGUCAUAAUGGUUCCAUUUUAUUACGCGACUUGCUUGUGUUACUGAAAGUUGUGAACCAAAAUAUGUAUCUGCUUAAGGGCUUAUACUGUCUUUUAAUCAAUUAUGGUGGUGUGUGAACAGUUAACCGCUUUGAUAGCCUUUAUGGAAGAGCACAGGGAUCUGGCACUCGGUAAUUUAAGCCGCUCAACCGAAGGCCGAAUGCUUUCCAAAAAAUUAUGGGCAAAUUGUGCCCAAAUAUUGAAUAACACCGCAGGUGGUGGGCCCACAAAAUCCGCUGCUGAGUGGCGCACAUUCUACAAUGAGUAUAAGGCAAAAACUUUGAAAAAAAUAAAGUUAAAAAGAAGAGAAAUAUGUGCUCCAGGUGAGAUUCCUGUGAAACGAAUAGUGAUAACACCACUACAAGAGCGACUUUAUAAAAUCCUUAGAAACCCUCAAGUUCAAGAGGAACCCUUACUGGAGACAAGCUCACAUUGUCAACAAACACCGAGUAUUUGUGGUUGGGAGUCAAGUUCUCGUUGCCAACAAACACCACCUCGUUUUAAUACAUUUGUUGGUUUUUUCAGGACAUAAAGGCCCAAAAAGUCGAAUCGCCCAGCGGCUAUAAAGCGCCCUGUGCUUGUAAGCCACCCAGACAGAGACCUCGAAUAGAUGGUGAACCGGUUGAAGAAGGAUACAAUGAUUCAAUAGAAUCAGCUCAGACAUCACUAGAAGCUGCUCAAGCAACAUUAGAAAGGAUUGAAAAUUCUUAUGCUAGAGCAAUCAGCGAACAGGCACAAGCCACCAAUAGGCUGGCUGCAGCUAUUGAGGACGUAGCCCACGGUAGAGUGGCGACAGCUUUAGAACACAUUGCCAGUUCUCUUGCUACUUAUGUACAAACAGUAAAGGCAGAACCAGAAAGUGGGUCGGAAGAAUAGAAAAUAAAACUUGAGGAAUAUAUUUAUAACGUUCUAAUUCUAUGUUUAUAACCAAAACAGGAAUCAAGUCAUUAAAAUAUUUUGUGGAAUACAAAA